GACGAACGCUGGCGGCGUGCUUAACACAUGCAAGUCGAACGGACAGGCCCUGCUUUUGUUGGUUGCUCGAGUGGCGAGCGGGUGAGUAACACGUGAGUAACCUGCCCUUGACUUUGUGAUAACUUCAGGAAACUGGGGCUCAUACCGGGUAGAAGCUCCUGCUGCAUGUUGGGGGUUGGAAAGUUUCGGCGGUUGGGGAUGGACUCGCGGGUUAUCAGCUUGUUGGUGGGGUAGUGGCUUACCAAGGCUUUGACGGGUAGCCGGCCUGAGAGGGUGACCGGCCACAUUGGGACUGAGAUACGGCCCAGACUCCUACGGGAGGCAGCAGUGGGGAAUAUGGCACAAUGGGCGGAAGCCUGAUGCAGCAACGCCGCGUGCGGGAUGACGGCCUUCGGGGUGUAAACCGCUUUCGACUGUGACGAAGCGUGAGUGACGGUAAUGGGUAAAGAAGCACCGGCUAACUACGUG
rnacentral:rRNA from 1 species